AACGCACAUUGCGCCCGCCAGCACUCUGGCGGGCAUGCCUGUCCGAGCGUCAUUUCAACCCUCGCGCCGUCCCUCCAGGGGGCUCGGCGCGGUGUUGGGGGACACGGCCCCGGCCGCCCCCGAAAUGCAGUGGCGACCCCGCCGCGGCCCCUCCAGCGCAGUAAGCACGCUCGCUACGGGAGGCCCGGUGGACGCGUCCGCCGUAAAACGCCCAACUCUUCAGAAGUUGACCUCGGAUCAGGUAGGGAUACCCGCUGAACUUAA
rnacentral:misc_RNA from 2 species